GCACGGCGCGCGUGGGAUGUCAUGGCCACUUUAGUACGACAAGAGGUUGGUUUCGAGAUGAAACUUUCAAAGUGAAAUGUCUCAAUCAUUAGUUGCUAGGCGAGGUAGCGCGCGCGUGGUCGGAUAGUUGCUUGCUACCGUUCGAGCCUGCAGCCGGCUGUUGACGUACUGUACAACUGUACUUCUACAGAAGAGAUUCUAGUCUUUUAGUGAUACAGGAGCAUUCCUGCAAAGAGUACACACUUUUCCUGGAAGAAUUUUGAGGAAUCUUUGCAUCUACCAUUUUUCUGGAAAGAACACAGCACAGAGUUAUAACCACUGACUUGAAUGAGUUGAAAGAAUACACUUCAAACGAUUGCUGCCUUAAUUCUUUCAAAGAAAUACAGUAGUUACAACCAGCUACAUGCCUGGUUAUAGUCGUGACUGAGUAAUUAUCUUUCGUAGAUGUAUGAUUUUCUGUAGUGGCAUGCAACGUCGGCCAUUGAAUCAAUUUG